UGAGGAAUAUUGGUCAAUGGACGCAAGUCUGAACCAGCCAAGUAGCGUGCAGGAUGACGGCCCUAUGGGUUGUAAACUGCUUUUAUAUGGGGAUAAAGUGGGGAACGUGUUCCCUUUUGCAGGUACCAUAUGAAUAAGGACCGGCUAAUUCCGCGCCAGCAGCCGCGGUAAUACGGAAGGUUCGGGCGUUAUCCGGAUUUAUUGGGCGUAAAGGGUACGUAGGUGGUUUUUUAAGUCAGGUGUCAAAGCGUGGAGCUUAACUCCAUUAAGCACUUGAAACUGAAAGACUUGAGUGAAGGAGAGGAAAGUGGAAUUCCUAGUGUAGCGGUGAAAUGCGUAGAUAUUAGGAGGAAUACCGGUGGCGAAGGCGACUUUCUGGACUUUUACUGACGCUCAGGUACGAAAGCGUGGGGAGCAAACAGG
rnacentral:rRNA from 1 species